CACAGCCCCAUAAGUGCCAAUGCCAUAAACCACUGUUCAGUGCUGCCUCACGCAGCCCCAUAAGUGCCCACCCCACACAUGUGGGCCGUGUGCAGUUGCAGCACGCAGCACCGCAUGCAGCGCAUUGCAUGGGCUGCAGCACAGAUUGCAGCACAUUGCAUGGAUUGCAGCGUGGCUGCAUGCAUCACAAUGUGUUGCAUGGGCUGCAGCACAGAUUGCAACACGGCUGCAUGCAUCACAACGUGUUGCAUGGGCUGCAGCAUAGCUGCACGGGCUGCAGCACAGAUUGCAGUGCGUUGCAUGGAUUUGCAGCGUGGCUGCAUGCAUCACAACGUGUUGCAUGGGCCGCAGCACGGCUGCAUGGGUUGCAGCACAGUGCAUGGAACGGAUCAGAGCACGGCUGCAUGGAUUGCAGCACCAAUCAGAGCACAUUGCAUGGAGCAUAGCACGGCUGCAUGGAUUGCAGCACAGACUGCAUGGAACAGAUCAGAGCACAGCUGCAUGGAUUGCAGCACAGCUGCAUGGAUCAGAGCACAGCACACUGCAUGGAACACAGCACGGCUGCAUGGGUUGCAGCACAGCUGCAUGGAUCAGAGCACAGCACACUGCAUGGAACACAGCACGGCUGCAUG
ensembl:lncRNA